AUUGAACGCUGGCGGCAUGCCUUACACAUGCAAGUCGAACGGCAGCACGGGUGCUUGCACCUGGUGGCGAGUGGCGAACGGGUGAGUAAUACAUCGGAACAUGUCCUGUAGUGGGGGAUAGCCCGGCGAAAGCCGGAUUAAUACCGCAUACGAUCUACGGAUGAAAGCGGGGGACCUUCGGCCCUCGCCCUAUGGGUUGGGCGAUGGCUGAUUAGCUAGUUGGUGGGGUAAAGGCCUACCAAGGCGACGAUCAGUAGCUGGUCUGAGAGGACGACCAGCCACACUGGGACUGAGACACGGCCCAGACUCCUACGGGAGGCAGCAGUGGGGAAUUUUGGACAAUGGGCGAAAGCCUGAUCCAGCAAUGCCGCGUGUGUGAAGAAGGCCUUCGGGUUGUAAAGCACUUUUGUCCGGAAAGAAAUCCUUGGCCCUAAUACGGUCGGGGGAUGACGGUACCGGAAGAAUAAGCACCGGCUAACUACGUG
rnacentral:rRNA from 1 species